rnacentral:rRNA from 1 species
GACGAACGCUGGCGGCGUGCUUAACACAUGCAAGUCGAACGAAGUGGCGCACGGGUGAGUAACGCGUACUCCACCUUCCCUUCAGAGGGGGACAACAGUUGGAAACGACUGCUAAUACCGCAUACUGAAGGAGGGGAUUGCGUCUGAUUAGCUAGUUGGAGGGGUAACGGCCCACCCAGGCGAAGAACAGUAGCCGGUCUGGAAGGGUGAACGGCCACAUUGGGACUGGAACACGGCCCAGAAUCCUACGGGAGGCAGCAGGUGGGAAUCUUCCGCAAUGGACGGAAGUCUGACGGGGCAACGCCGCGUGAGUGAUGACGGCCUUCGGGUUGUAAAGCUCUGUUAAUCGGGACGCGGUACCGGAAUAGAAAGCCACGGCUAACUACGUGCCAGCAGCCGCGGUAAUUC